rnacentral:rRNA from 1 species
AUUGAACGCUGGCGGCAGGCCUAACACAUGCAAGUCGAGCGAUCGGCGGACGGGUGAGUAAUGUAUGGGGACUGCCCGAUAGAGGGGGAUAACUACUGGAAACGGUGGCUACUCCCGCAUACUAUCGGAUACCCCAUAUGGGAUUAGCUAGUAGGUGGGGUAACGGCUCACCUAGGCGACUAUCUCUAGCUGGUCGGAGAGGCUGUUCAUCUACACUGGAACUGAGGCACGGUCCAGUAUCCUACGGAGUCAGCAGUGGGAAAUAUUGCACAAUGGGCGCAAGCCUGAGGCAGCCAUGCCGCGUGUAUGAAGAAGGCCUUAGGGUUGUAAAGUACUUUUAGCGGUGAGGCGUUACCCGCAGAAGAAGCACCGGCUAACUCCGUGCCAGCAGCCGCGGUAAUAC